GUUAGCAGGACAACCUUCACCUGCCAGCUUCCAAGGUUAUUUUCGUCAUUUCCAGCAGCUUUUUAAGGGCCAUUUUCAUCAUUUUCAUGAUUGUUAACAUUUGAGUAAUCGUAUACGUGUUGGUUGAUUAUUUCACCAACUUCAACGUGUCAUUUGAAUGGGAACAUAUUUUAAUUACUGUGGGCAAAGAUUUUUCUGUUGGCAUCUUGCUAUCUUAACCUCAAAGCUUUGGCAACUACAGUAACGGUGAGUAUUCUGAUGUUCUUCUUCUUGAAAUUCUUCGAUGGUGAAUGUUCCGAUCCUUUUCUAUUAUUCUAUACAUAGAGAUUAAAAUUUUGGCUUCCACAUAACAUCAGUUGUUCAACUUUGUCCUCUUCCAGGUAAGUAAGGGUAUGUGGAUUUUGUGUUCUUUUACUUCAGUUGUUUAGCUUUCUCCUCUUCCAAUUAAAAGCAUGUGGAUUUUGUGUUUUUACUGUCCGAUCAUGCGUUUUCAAGCUCCUAUUUGUUGGGUUUUCCUGAUUUUAACAUGAAAAUUGGGAAAAAUAUUGAUGUAUAUAAUCUUGAAGAUGUUUAUUUCCUGGUUUGAUUCCACUUUAACAGAUACAUAUUUUCAGUUUGGAGUUUGAUAUAAGUAUGUGUAUGCAUAUGGGUGUUGUUCGUGAACUCCCAAAAUUUUGUUGAAAUAGUUGUACAAUGUGAUAGCAAAGUAAACGUUAUCUUUACUGUUUUCUUGUACCGUGAACCAUAAUUGUGGUAUAAAUAAUCCUAAAACAAAAAGUUGUACUAACUGUGGAAUGAACUACUUCCAGAUUCUACCUCAGACUGUGAUCGCUUAUCUUUGUAUAAGCAAACAAUCCUUUAAGAUUUUCAGUUGAUAGUUAAGAAGGAGUUUAAAAGGUUGCAUAACAAGAUGUUUAUUUCCUGGUUUGGUUCCACUUUAAUAGGUACAUAUUUUCAAUUUGGGGUUUGUUAUAAGUAUGUGUAUGCGUAUGGGUGUCGUCGUCAACUCCCGAAAUUUUGUUGAAAUAGUCGUACAAUAUGAUAGCAAAGUAAAUGUUAUCCUUACUGUUUUCUUGUACAGUGAAUUCCCCUCCUUAACUGAACACUUUGCUAUUAGAAUACCACCACUACCGGCAAGCUCCGCAGCUUAGCUUUCACUGCAAAUAUUUCAUUAUUAGUUUGUUCAUUAAUUUACAUUGUCAUGUGUUUCCGUUUUAUGUGCACCUUCUCCUGGCAUAAGGAAGCAAAUAUUAUCAUAAUGGAUCGGAAACUUCUCGUGGACACCAUCACAACUGAAACUGCAGAUUGGACCUCUAAGGUACAGGUAGUAUACAAGUUUCGGCCCCGCGAAAGUAGUGACUCAUCUAUACAUUUUCAGACAAUACUUGUGCAGGACGAAAAGGUAAGUUUGUCCCUACCUCUACCGUCGCUGGAAAACGGAGUUCAUACCCUAAACAUUAUUAUCUAUGGUAACGUUAUUAACUACACGACAUUUGUUACUGCUGCAAAGGCAAUAACUAUGUAGACUUAACAAAUUAAUAAAAGUUCAAUUCCAGCCUUAUAAAAAAAACAACUGAAAAUUUGAACUACUUUUUUUAUAAGCUGUAUUCGUACAUCUAAAAUAGGUUCUCUUUUACCUGACUACAGGAACAAUAGGUUUCCAUAGUACUCUACGACGAUGACAUUCCCAAGUACGAGAAGUUGUUUGCCCUUUUUGAGACAUAUUUGGUUUCCUGUGCAAAAGUUAGGGACCCCGGGGAUACUCAAUACGAGCUGGUACAUAUGAGUGGGUGGUUGACAGAUAUACAAUCGUUUAGGCGGUUAAAAAUAAUGAUGGAUUGGAAGCCCCCCUUCCCACUCCAACAAAAUUGAAUGCGCUUUCCUUCUCAGCUAUUGAAUGCCAGCGUCUAGGUGUUGAAUUUGACUUAUUAGCUAUAGUAGCUAAUUGCAGCGCUAUUCAAUAUACAGCUGAUCAAAGUAAGCACUUCUGGGAAGCGAUCGUUAUGGACCAGAGGUGAGUUACUCGCCUCCCGACAAAAGGUUCACCAAGCAUUCUAUUUACUUGCCAACGCUUGCACUGUAAUAAUUUUUACUUAUUACUGCUUGCACUGUAACAAUUUUUGCAUCUGCUAUGUCUAUCAGCAAGAAACCUUUUUUAUUCACUAUAUGGGGCAACCUGGCUGACAAUGAAGGAGAUACAUUAUUACAUCACCUACAUCAAUAUCCCGUCAUUCUAGCGAAGCAUAUAGGUGUUACUGAGUUCCACGGUGGUAUCCCUUCAUUAUUACAUUAAUGCUGUAGGUACAAACUUUCCCGUGGAAGACAGAUUAUCACUUCCCGACCAUCCCCAAUAAUUUUACUUGCUUGCCUGCUCACACUGCAAUAACGUUGUACUCCCUAAAACAAUAAAAGUGGUUCACUGCUUCAACUGUAAGAUACGCCGAGAAUUAGUCCCCAGGUAACUACUACAACUACAACAUUGCAUACACUCUCUAUUGUGCAGCUUCUCUUUCUUCACUUUGGUAGGAAAAAUUCUAGAUUGAUCUUACUGAUGACAACUGAGAUACGUUUUCCCUAAAAUGAUAAGUCCAACAACUCACGCAAACAGUCACUGUACAUCUUCAAAGUCUGUAUGCACUCAUGUACAUGACAAUAGUUUACUUCCUUCUAAUUUCUAUUCGGAAGGAAAAGCUAUAACCAUUCUCCUAUGGUUUACUUACCCUUCCGCUGAUGUUUUGACAUUUGAUUAAUCUGUAUUGCCUUUGUGUAUAGCUUGACGUGAUUGCCCAGUAUACUGUGGAGUAGUCUGCGACCUGUAUCAUUUCCUACAUAGAUUAGGUUGACUGCUAUCACUGUGUUAUGAUGAAAUAUCAUUAACUUAGAGCAUCCUGACAUUUUUAUAAACAUGUAUUGAAUUUGGUAUGUUCAAUAUCGGCGACUUAGGAAGAGGGAUCUGGGAACCAAAAGACUCCUGUGAGUAUUUGUCUUUUCGGCUGUUUAGAACUGUAGAUAACUGUCCCUAUUUUUAAAACCCGAGAAACAAUAGUCAACAGAAUAACUUCUUUUAUCAUUUCCAAUAAAAAGUUCCUUAUGAAAGAAAAUACAUGCAUUUUCUCUAAAAAUUUUCACACGUAAUAGUAUCUUCUAAAGUUUAUCUCUAUCCUUCUCUGCCAAUGCAGAUAUCCUACAUUUUCUGUGGUAUAAUCUAAAGACCUGACUAAAUUUUUGUAGCCCGACUGUGAUGAACAGAUUUUUAUUAAUUUCAGUACGCACCUUGACCUUUCCUCGGCUUCUAAAUUUAGUUGCGAGGACUGGAGCAGUGGCUGUGUCAUUAUAUGCUGGUAGAGACGGAAAAACUGGCUUUCUCUUGACAUAGUUGAAAGAACAAGAAUCUGUGUAGUACUCGAGCAUGGCAAUGGUUGUGGUGUUAUCAAAUGGUCACCUGCAAUACUUGAAUAGGCAUGUGCUGCCAUAUACUAUCUGGCUGGUGAGAAGCGGAAACAACUAUUUAGAUACUGGAGUAGAAUAACACCCAAUGAAGAGUUCAACAUCUUCAAAAAUCAACAGAAAAAUAAUUUCCUACUAUCCAGUCAUUACAAAAAUUCUUCACAACAUUAUAGAUAACCUUCUAUAUUCUUUAGAUAUUUCUUCUCAACUGUUUCCUAUAAAAUGACUGCUGAGGGUCAUACACAAGUACUAAUAGACACUGGUUGGUGUUGUUUGUCACUGAUUAGAAAACAUUGCAGGUCCUACAGCCUUCUUGCUAAUUAAGAGGCUGGAAAAUAUUCUAAAUUUGUAAUUGCAGUUCUUAUUACUUCCAACAAUGUUUCAUCCUAUAUAAAAUCUUUACUGUUUGAUUUCUUUCCUUGAUUAUUUGCCUAGAUAUUAAUUUAGUCAAGUAAAUUCAUUAUUUGAGUGUAUCUACGUGGCUGAAAGAUUAGGAAUGUUACUUUCUAUAUUUUCCUUUUAAAAAUUUGCUAUGCAUUUUAAUUGUACUGCUAUUUUAAUCAUAGGUCACUUCAAAGUUGAUAUUACGGAUGCCAGUGAUACAAUUAUAGUAACAAUCUCAGAAACGCUGGCAAAAAAAAUGUUGUCCCUAACUGCAGAACAAAUAUAUGAAACUGUCACUUUCCAGGUACACACAUACAUACCACUAACGACACGGAAAACUUAUGUCUUACAAUUUUGUUCUUUUCAGUUAGUAAAAUACUGCAUUAUAUAAAAGUUCACUUAAAUCUGCUCUCUUUCUGCUUUUUCAAUUAGCAACAACCGUUGUCUAUUACCCGUAUAAAUGAGCACCUCGCUCAAACUAUUUAAGCUCCAGCUACAAAAGCCAGUCUUCAGAUUUUUCGAUAAAAAAUCUGGCAUACUAGCUAUCACUGCCUUCAUUGAAGCAGAAACCCCAGUUUUCCCGACGUCAUGAUUACCUGCAGAUCUGGGGGACACAGGUAAGAGCCAGAAAAUCGAACCACCCACACCCGCAAAAAAACAUUGAAGGUAACAACACUUUUAACAAUUCGAUUUGGUAUUGUACUCUGCAUUCACUGCAAUACUCUAAAAUAUUCUACUCAACUAAAUUUUAUUUCAAACAUAUAUAGUAGCAGAAAUUACAUUUUGUUGCCAACACCUGCAGGAUCUCAAUCUCAGCAGGUAAAUAUAAUCUUCAUAGUCGCCUUUGUUACAUCUGCCUACUCAAUGCAAUCAGGUACAUAGAAUGAUGUUGCUCGCAGCCAACCUCGGUCAAGUGGUGUGGCAUGUACAACUGCAUUUUAGUUGCUUCUGCCAACUCCAAUGCAUGGUAUAAGCAUGUACAAAUGAUUUUUGCUUGCCUACACCAUCAGAAUUAGUCCGCUGCCUGAACAAAGUUUUUGCGUUUUCAUAUGUUGAUAGUUUUUGUAUGUAAACAACUCAUAAUGAAAUAUGAAAGUACAUGUUAAUAGUUUUUGUACAUAAAUAGCUAUGUCGCUACAAAAUAUUUACAUUUUAUUAUGUAACGUGACAAAAAGACUAAAGUUCGCUCU